GAUGAACGCUGGCGGCGUGCCUAAUACAUGCAAGUCGAGCGAAUGGAUUAAGAGCUUGCUCUUAUGAAGUUAGCGGCGGACGGGUGAGUAACACGUGGGUAACCUGCCCAUAAGACUGGGAUAACUCCGGGAAACCGGGGCUAAUACCGGAUAACAUUUUGAACCGCAUGGUUCGAAAUUGAAAGGCGGCUUCGGCUGUCACUUAUGGAUGGACCCGCGUCGCAUUAGCUAGUUGGUGAGGUAACGGCUCACCAAGGCAACGAUGCGUAGCCGACCUGGGAAGGUGAUCGGCCACACUGGGACUGAGACACGGCCCAGACUCCUACGGGAGGCAGCAGUAGGGAAUCUUCCGCAAUGGACGAAAGUCUGACGGAGCAACGCCGCGUGAGUGAUGAAGGCUUUCGGGUCGUAAAACUCUGUUGUUAGGGAAGAACAAGUGCUAGUUGAAUAAGCUGGCACCUUGACGGUACCUAACCAGAAAGCCACGGCUAACUACGUGCCAGCCGCCGCCAUAA
rnacentral:rRNA from 1 species